rnacentral:rRNA from 1 species
CUACGGGCCGCAGCAGUGAGGAAUAUUGCACAAUGGGGGGAACCCUGAUGCAGCAACGCCGCGUGGAGGAUGACGCAUUUCGGUGUGUAAACUCCUUUUAUAUGUCAAGAAAAUGACGGUAGCAUAUGAAUAAGCACCGGCUAACUCCGUGCCAGCAGCCGCGGUAAUACGGAGGGUGCAAGCGUUACUCGGAAUCACUGGGCGUAAAGGACGCGUAGGCGAGUUGGAAAGUCAGGUGUGAAAUCCUACAGCUUAACUGUAGAACUGCACUUGAAACUUCUAAUCUAGAGUAUGGGAGGGGGGGAUGGAAUUAGUGGUGUAGGGGUAAAAUCCGUAGAUAUCACUAGGAAUACCUAAAGCGAAGGCGAUCUCCUGGAACAUUACUGACGCUAAGGCGUGAAAGCGUGGGGAGCAAACAGGAUUAGAUACCCCCGUAGUC